rnacentral:rRNA from 1 species
CAGUCGCCGCGGUAAAACGUAGGUGGCAAGCGUUGUCCGGAUUUAUUGGGCGUAAAGCGAGCGCAGGCGGUCAAUUAAGUCUGAUGUGUAAGCCCCCGGCUCAACCGGGGAGGGUCAUUGGAAACUGGUUGACUUAAGUGCAGAAGAGGAGAGUGGGAUUCCAUGUGUAGCGGUGAAAUGCGUAGAUAUAUGGAGGAACACCAGUGGCGAAGGCGACUCUCUGGUCUGUAACUGACGCUGAGGCUCGAAAGCGUGGGUAGCAAACAGGAUUAGAUACCCGAGUAGUCCCUGUCUCUUAUAU